AUUGAACGCUGGCGGCAGGCCUAACACAUGCAAGUCGAGCGAGCGGCGGACGGGUGAGUAAUGUAUGGGGAACUGCCCGAUGGAGGGGGAUAACUACUGGAAACGGUGGCUAAUACCGCAUACUAUCAGAUGUGCCCAGAUGGGAUUAGCUAGUUGGUGGGGUAAAGGCUCACCAAGGCGACGAUCCCUAGCUGGUCUGAGAGGAUGAUCAGCCACACUGGAACUGAGACACGGCCCAGACUCCUACGGGAGGCAGCAGUGGGGAAUAUUGGACAAUGGGCGCAAGCCUGAUGCAGCCAUGCCGCGUGUAUGAAGAAGGCCUUAGGGUUGUAAAGUACGUUCAGCGGGGAGGCGUUACCCGCAGAAGAAGCACCGGCUAACUCCGUGCCAGCAGCCGCGGUAAUAC
rnacentral:rRNA from 1 species